rnacentral:rRNA from 1 species
GACGAACGCUGGCGGCGUGCUUAACACAUGCAAGUCGAGCGGUAAGGCCCCUUCGGGGGUACACGAGCGGCGAACGGGUGAGUAACGCGUGAGUAACCUGCCCCAUUCUUCGGAAUAACCAGUGGAAACGCUGGCUAAUGCCGCACAUGACCCUCGAAGGCAUCUUCUGGUGGUGGAACGCCCCGGCGGAGUGGGAUGGACUCGCGGCCUAUCAGCUUGUUGGUGAGGUACUGGCUCACCAAGGCGUCGACGGGUAGCCGGCCUGGGAGGGUGACCGGCCACACUGGGACUGAGACACGGCCCAGACUCCUACGGGAGGCAGUAGUGGGGAAUAUUGCACAAUGGGCGCAAGCCUGAUGCAGCAACGCCGCGUGCGGGAUGACGGCCUUCGGGUUGUAAACCGCUUUUAGUAGGGAAGAAGCCUUCGGGUGACGGUACCUGCAGAAAAAGGACCGGCUAACUACGUGCCAGCAGCCGCCGUAACAC